GACGAACGCUGGCGGCGUGCUUAACACAUGCAAGUCGAACGGUGACGGAGAGCUUGCCCUCCUGAUCAGUGGCGAACGGGUGAGUAACACGUGGGGCAACCUGCCCCAGACUUCGGGAUAACGCUUCGAAAGAGGUGCUAAUACCGAAUACGAACCUCCCUGGCAUCUGGGAGGUUGGAAAGUUUUUCGGUCUGGGAUGGGCCCGCGGCCUAUCAGCUUGUUGGUGAGGUAACGGCUCACCAAGGCGACGACGGGUAGCCGGCCUGAGAGGGCGACCGGCCACACUGGGACUGAGACACGGCCCAGACUCCUACGGGAGGCAGCAGUGGGGAAUAUUGCGCAAUGGGCGAAAGCCUGACGCAGCAACGCCGCGUGAGGGAUGACGGGCCUUCGGGUUGGUAACCUCUUCUAGCAGGGAAGAAGCGAAAGU
rnacentral:rRNA from 1 species